rnacentral:rRNA from 1 species
AUUGAACGCUGGCGGCAGGCUUAACACAUGCAAGUCGAGCGGGGUGAUGGUGCUUGCACUAUCACUUAGCGGCGGACGGGUGAGUAAUGCUUAGGAAUCUGCCUAUUAGUGGGGGACAACAUCUCGAAAGGGAUGCUAAUACCGCAUACGUCCUACGGGAGAAAGCAGGGGAUCACUUGUGACCUUGCGCUAAUAGAUGAGCCUAAGUCGGAUUAGCUAGUUGGUGGGGUAAAGGCCUAACAAGGCGACGAUGUGUAGCGGGUCUGAGAGGAUGAUCCGCCACACUGGGACUGGGGCACGGGCCAGACUCCUACGGGAGGCAGCAGUGGGGAAUAUUGGACAAUGGGGGGAACCCUGAUCCAGCCAUGCCGCGUGUGUGAAGAAGGCCUUAUGGUUGUAAAGCACUUUAAGCGAGGAGGAGGCUCUUUUGGUUAAUACCCAAGAUGAGUGGACGUUACUCGCAGAAUAAGCACCGGCUAACUCUGUGCCAGCCGCCGCCGUAA